CAGCAGCCGCGGUAAGACAGAGGAUGCAAGCGUUAUCCGGAAUGAUUGGGCGUAAAGGGCUCGCAGGCGGUUUCUUGAGUCUGAUGUGAAAGCCCCCGGCUCAACCGGGGAGGGUCAUUGGAAACUGGGAAACUUGAGUGCAGAAGAGGAGAGUGGAAUUCCACGUGUAGCGGUGAAAUGCGUAGAGAUGUGGAGGAACACCAGUGGCGAAGGCGACUCUCUGGUCUGUAACUGACGCUGAGGAGCGAAAGCGUGGGGAGCGAACAGGAUUAGAUACCCGUGUAGUCCCUGUCUCUUAUAA
rnacentral:rRNA from 1 species